rnacentral:rRNA from 1 species
AUUGAACGCUGGCGGCGUGGAUAAGACAUGCAAGUCGAACGGGGCAAUGCUUGUAGCAAUAUGAGUGUUGUUCAGUGGCGAACGGGUGCGUAACACGUGGAUACAUUCCGGAAAGCGGGGGAUAGCCCAGGGAAACUUGGAUUAAUACCGCAUGUGGUCGAAAGACUAAAGGUGGGGACCGCAAGGCCUGCCACUUUCCGAUUGGUCCGCGGCCUAUCAGCUAGUUGGCGGGGUAAAGGCCACCAAGGCUACGACGGGUAGCUGGUCUUAGAGGACGACCAGCCACACUGGAACUGAGACACGGUCCAGACACCUACGGGUGGCAGCAGUCGAGAAUCUUUCACAAUGGGGGCAACCCUGAUGGAGCGACGCCGCGUGGAGGAUAAGGUCUUCGGAUUGUAAACUCCUGUCAUGCGCGAACAAGGUUGCUGGGUUAAUAACCCGGCAAAUUGAUGGUACCGCAAGAGGAAGAGACGGCUAACUCUGUGCCAGCAGCCGCAGUAAAAC